rnacentral:lncRNA from 1 species
AGAACAAACCCACAGACAACAAACCCACAUCAACAAACCCACAACAACAAAUCUACAACAACAAACCCACAGAGAGCAAGCCCACAGGGAACCAGCCAAAUUAUGUCUGCUGUGCAUCUCGGCAGACGAUGCUGCCACCGUCUGUGUAUGAGCAUGUGUGUGUCAGACUUUCCCAUCGUCUCCAAACUUGUUUUCAGAAUAAUGCUUCCAGUGAAAUGAGUCGGCCACAUGAGGUCACAAAGCCCCUACUCUGUUCAGCACCUGGGCUCCUGGUUUGUUAAGGCAAACCCCCAUCUCUGGCUUCUCCUGGAACCUCACCUGGGAAAGAAAGAGGCAGCCCCGGAGCUGGAAGCUGCUUCAGGGCUCACCCGGAACAGCAGACUCAACCUGGACCCAUCCAGGCAUCUCCUGGGAGUUUCACCCAAUUGCUUCUGCCUGGCACCAGCUCAGAGGUUCUGACAGAAUUGGCCUGGGGUGAGACCUGGCAUCCAUGGGAUUUUUACAAGCUUCCAGGUGAUUCUACAGGGAAGCCAAGCCUUCCAGGCCCCGGUGGGAUGAGACUUCCCUGCCCCCACGGUUGAGAGGAGCCAUGGGCUUAUUCUAGCCAAUGAAUGGUGGAUGGACGUGACUCGUGUCUCUUCCAGGCUGGAGCAUUUAAUUGUCCAGGUGAGAUACUCAGGGACUCGUCCCUCCAGAGCUGAGAAUGGCCAUGUUUCCAGAGGGUCUGCAGGAGCAACCUGAGUCUCAGAGCACAGCCACCAGCAGACCUGCUGCACGCAUGUGGCGGGGGAAAGAAAGAAAGCCAGCUGUCUGCAGCCACUGAGAGUUUGGGGUGGUUGUUUCUCAUGACAAAACCAGCUCACCCUGACUUAUACAAAGUCUUUGAGUUAUAUAGAUGGAGAAUGAGGCUCUUGGGUCCCUCUAUUCUCACAAAGCAAUAGCCUAGCUAAAUCCAUCUAACUAGGGAGCAGAAAAGGGGAUGUGCUGGCUUGCACACCCUAGACAGUUGUUCAAGAAGUCAGGACACCAGGCCUGGAGUGAUACUUCAGCCAUCCUUCUAGGUGAGGGUCUUGAGGCCACACAGACAGAAGUGGCAGAGAUGGGACACACAUUCGUCUUCUCACUCACAGUCUGGCACUGAGCUGUGGGCUGCUGGGACACCAUGCCCCCAUACGAGUAGCCUUCCCACUCCUUACCUUGAAGGAAAAGUGUUUUUUGGACAAAUACCUGAUGGAAACAUUACAUGGGCCUUGGAAUCUGUUAGAUCUAGCUUCCUGAAACUCUUGCUAGCUGUGUGACAAUAUACAAGUUUCUUAACCUCUCUGAGCCUCAGUGCUCUAAUUACACUCCCCUCAUAGAGUUUCUAAGAGCAUCCUGGGGCUGGCACGUGUCAACGCACCCAGUAUUUGAUAGAGUUUGUUAAACGUUGGUUAUCCUCUCUCCCUAUCGCACCUCAAAUGGUAAGGGCUGCCUGCCAGCUUCCAUAUCCCCAGCAGUGCCCUGAGUUGUUCAGAUGUUCAUCCAUCUCCCACAGAACUCAGGUUCCUUUGGAGGAAGCCACAUCAAGUCCUGCUCCAAGCUUAAGCCAGUCAGCACAUUCCAUGCUCUGCCCCAUUGCCAGGGUUCAGGAGUAUGCUCGUGAUCUAAGCACCCCCACUCCCAGAUACAGCUCAAGAUUCUUGCUUGGACUUCUGGGCACUCAGGCUCCUCCGAGAGGGAAUCAAACUUACUUCUCUCCAUGUCCUUUCCUCUAGGAGAUGCGUCUUUCAUAAAACUCUCAUCAACACUGUUCAGACAUGUCCCACCCCAGCAGGGGACAGCCUGGGCUCAAGCUGGGAUCCCUACUUUAUUUAUUUUCUGCUAAUUAAACUUCCUAAUAUACUCCACACUAAGUGUGCUUGCAAGGCAGGGGGUGUGGGAUAAGCGGCCCUGCCUGGCUGGGAGAGGGGGCAGCUCCCUGCUGUACUAUGUAUUAAUAAAGAGACACAUGCAUGGCAGGGCUUGUCUGGGCCUUGGUGGCAGCUUAGGACAGAAGGCACGUGACAGUCAGGGGUUCAAACAACCCAGGGAGAACACUGCUUCAGGGAAGACAGCUCAGCAUCUUCCUGGCAAAGAUAAUGACAUUGAUAAUACUCUCCAAAGAAUUUCAGGAUUUUGAGCAAUCAGAAAAGCAACACAGAAAUUCAUGUCAUCAAAACGAUAUGGCUCUAUUGGACACUUAAGACAUUUAUUGGAGGCUCAACAACAUAAUCCUGCUGGUUGGUUUUACUUCAUUGAUUUUCCGUUGUGUCUGAUUACAUUGCUAAUGCUGAUGGUGGAUGAGCUACGGCUCUUUUCCUGCCUGUCCUGAGGUUUAUCCACCAAUGUUUCAGUUCUGUUUUAAGAUAUUGUCCUAAGCCCCCAGCAUCGCAUGCAUGCUGUUUUUUUGUUUUGUUUUGUUUUGUUUUUUACAAAGAGUUCAUAGCCCGUGGAAGACUCUCCUCCAUCACACACUUAGGUUCCCUCCACACCAGGCCUGGAAGGAGUCUAGCUUCUGGGGACUGUACAUAUGCUGUGGACCAUGCAGAACCUGGAGAGGCGGUGACCCCUUCUAGAAGUGAUCUGCCUGAAUCCUUCCCUCUGGAGGAGGCAUUUAUUAAAUGCCAGGUUCCUGAAAGGCUCUGAGAUGGGCACUCCCUCUCCUGAGUCGUCCCUUCCAUUACUGCUUUCCUAUUUCUGGCCAGGGUUCCCUGGCCCCUCCUCCCUGCUCCCAUGGGACCCCAGUUCAUCCCCAUCUUUGCUCAAUUGCCCUGCACUGUAGUAAUCCAUUGGCACUCUUGUCUUCUCCAGGAGAAAUAGUUGGAGGAGAAGUUUAUAGGGUUUCCUGGGCCAGGGCUGGUCUACAGUCACUGGACAGCAGGAAACGACCCUUCGGGGCCUAGGAGGGCCAAGGCUGGUGGGCAGGUACAGGGGGAGCCAGCACUGCUGUCCACCACUGUGCAGCCUGGAGGCUGUUUCCCAUGACCCUGCUGAUGGGACCCAAGGCACCCCAGGCCACCCACUCCCCUGCCCCCAGCAGGGUGUCAGCUCCCCGGCUUCCCUGCAUGCCUGCCUGACAUGGACAGUGCACCUUCGGGCCACACUUGCCCUGCUAGCGAGCCUCCAGUGAACUGGGAAUUCCACAGAGUGUAGAGGACUCGCCCCAGCACUGUGCUGAGAGGCUUCACCAAACUGUAGCCUGGCUUCCACCUGCACUAAGCUGCAUCCCCAGAGGCGACCCCAGCCCUGGCUGAGUCUUGGCUCAAGACUUUGCAAUGCAGCCAAAUCACAAAAUGCACCUCGUCCAGCCCACCCCGCUAAACCAUUUUCAGUAGUUCUCCCCUCACCGUUCUGGAACUUUCCAUUUCCACGUGGCCCCCACGUUCUGUUUUCAUUUCUCCUUCAGUCCCUUUUUGUUCCCUUUCUGUUCUCUCUUUGAAGACCUCAGUCACCGUUUUCUGAGUUGGGGUUGAGCUUGGUCGGUACUGGAAUCUCUUUCCGCUGCUGCAGGAGUCUGAAGGAAUCAGUCUUGCCGCCUGUAACACAUGUCCAGCGCUGCUUUUUCUCUGAUGAGUGUCUUAGUCAGUUUGGGCUGUUAAAACAAAUGGCUUAGGCAACACACGUUUCUGUCUCACAGUUCUGGAAGCUGGAAGUCUGAGAUCAAGGUGUUGGCAGAUUCGGUACCCGGUGAGGACCUGCUUCCUGGUUCGCGGGUAGAACACUUCUUGCUGUGUCCUCACAAGGUGCAGAGAGAGAGGGGGGUCUGGUGUCUCUUCCUGUAAGGGCACUGAUCCCAUCAUGGGGGCCUUACAAUCGCGACCUCAUCUAAACCUCCCGAAACCUCAUCUAAAUCUCACCUCCAUACUAUCACAUUGGGGAUUAAGGCUUUAACAUGUGGAUUUCAGGGGACAAAGGACAAAAGCAUUCAGUCCAUGGCACAUGCUCAGUGCCUCGACUCUUGCAAGUGCCACACCACAGCCUCUCUGGGGCUGUGUCCUGGAGGCGUGUGCCAUGGGCCCUGUGUGCCAUGGGCAAGGCGCACAGCAUCCUCCCGGCCACCCCACCAGCGAGUGAGCUCCUGGCACCCUGGCUCUCUCUGGUCACCCAUCUACCAGUCUUGGUGCUCCUGUGCACUAGAGGACCAGCUGCCUGGGGACUGUGGGCCAACUGUGGCCCCGGCCACCCACGAACUUCCCCUCCGGCCAGUGGCUGCAAUCACAUCUUCUCUAAAGACGUCUGAAGCCCAGCCUUGGGGAGCCGAGUUGGUCCUUCCCUGGGUACUGAGCCCUAGGGAACCCUUGAGAGUUCUCUUUGUAUCUUUGUAGUUUCUUCCUCACCACUUAAUCAUUUCCUUACAGGAAACUUCCUGUGUUCAAGUGACUGUAUGGUUUCUGCCUCCAGCUUCAUUUGUGGGUGCCAUAAGAGAGGCAAGCAUGGAGCACUAGGCGCAGGGGAUGGGCAACUGGCAAGCGGGGAGAUGCAUGCAGCGCACUUAGUGCCUGGUACAUACCAAGUCCUUUUAGUCUGGAUUUCAUUAUUUUUAAAUGGGUAUUGCUAUUUUUAAAAGAAUAGUUACAAAUAUUUAUUGUGUGUUUUGAAAUAAGUGGGUCAAGAUCAAUAAGAUAUUGUUGAUCAAUUGAUCAAUAAGAUAUCUUUUAUUCUUAAAAAUCAUAUUCUUCUGGUUCAGUGGGGAAGAGACUGCCGACCUGUAUUUACAGCAUUAUGUGAUAAGUGUUCUCCUUUUCAGGUAUGUAUUAGUCUGUUCUCAUGCUGUCAAUAAAGACAUACCUGAGACUGGGUAAUUUAUAAAGGAAAGAUGCUUAAUUGACUCACAAUUCCUCAUGGCUGAGGAGGCCUCAGGAAACUUACAAUCAUGGCAGAAAAGGAAGCAAGCAUAUCCUUCUUCGCAUGAUGGCAGGAAGGAGAAAUACAGAGCAAAGUGGGGAAAGCCCCUUAUAAAACCAUCAGAUCUUGUGAGAACGCAAUCACUAUCAAGAGAACAGCAUGGAGGUAAUUACCCACCGGCUCCCUCCCAUGACGCAUGGGGAUUAUGGGAACUAUAGUUCAAGAUGAGAUUUGAGUGGGGACACAGGCAAACCAUAUCAAGGUGACUCCUGCAAGCACCUACCUCCACCCCUCCUUCAUCCUUGCCCUCAUUCUACAAUGAUUUGGUGAAAUCUGGUCCCUGCCUCAGUUUUACAGCCUCCCCAUGACUCUGGUUACUUCCUGAUUAGCUUAAACGAAACCUAACUAGGUUGCCCUAGGAAAGCAUUUCUGUUCCUGACACCCCCCAUCUGCCUGCUGCUUCCGUUCCACCUGUAUGUGUCUGGGCACAUCCCUGCAUCCCUUUGCUGGCUUCUAGCCUACUCACUUCAAGCAUUUAUCCCAUGAGUUUCAUAAAAUCGUAGAAGAAAAGGGCUUGAGGCAGUGGUGGGGAAAUGAUAGGAAAGUCAUUUCUGGAUGCAUUCUGCCAUCCUGCAGAUCCCUAAACCACCUCUCCCUCUCCAUUCCCUCCCUCCAGAGAACAGCUUCUCCUUGUCUCCUGUGGAAUAGUUCCGCCCACAUUCAUGGGCCCUUCCUGUACCAAAACUGUACAGGUCUCUCUUGCUUACCAAACACUUGGCAAACAAAUGUGCCGUCCUUGGAAAAAUUCUGUUGAAUAAAAUUUUCUCUCUUUGAUCCAUCCAAAUGUUUUACAAAGUGCUACAGAAGCCAUGGAGGAACAAGCAAUUCUGCCUUAGGGAUCAAGGUUUCACACAGGGGGUGAUAUCUGAGCAACAGUGCUUUUUUGGUUUGUUUGUUUUGUUUUGAGAUGGAGUCUCGAUCUGUUGCCCAGGCUGGAGUGUGGUGGCACAAUCUCGGCUCACUGCAACCUCCGCCUCCCAGGUUUAAGUGAUUCUCCUGCUUCAGCCUCCUGAGUAGUUGGGAUUACAGGUGCCCGCCACCAUACCCAGCUAAUUUUUGUAUUUUUAGUAGAGACGGGGUUUCACCAUGUUGGCCAGGCUGGUCUCGAACUCCUGACCUCAAGUGAUCUGCCCACCUCGGCCUCCCAAAGUGCUAGGAUUAUAGGCAUGAGCCACAGUGCCCAGCCAACAGUGCUUUUAAUUGGCAUUUUCUUCAAAGACUUUGAUGUCCUAUAGGAGGGGGCCUAUGACUCAGCCUCAGCCAAUCAGAGCGCUCCAUUCCCUGGGUCACCUGCACACCUGCUCUUCCCUGAUCCACUGCAGUGCCCUCACCCUGAGAUCUGAAACUUGAGCAGAGGCACUAAAAGGCAGACAUGGGAGCUGAGCUGUCUUUUGGGAGAAUCCUAGUGAGAAGGUUCUCCAACUGGGGCCGCCAAGUAAGGGCCUCAUGGCAGACUAACCCCUCUCCUUCCUAAGGCUGGGAGGAGCUGCUGUCCUUUUGAUUCUGUGAGCUACCUCAGUUACCUUCCUCAAAAUCACACACACGCGCACACACACACACACACACACACACACACACACACACAUUUGCAUGCGCUAGGUAGAGCUGUUUUCCAUAAUUGCCAACAGAAGACUAACUGUAUUUGAAGAAUGAGCUGGCAUUCUUCUGCUCCGGUAGAAGUCAAGGCAAUCAGUUAUGAGAAUCAGAGCCCACCUGUGACUCCAGAAAGAGGUGCAUAAAUACCAAGAAUUUAGUCUCUAAAGUCUUUCUUUAAGUCCUUUUUUAAAAAAUGUGAUGAGUACAUCACCCAGGAAAAUCAAAUUGUAAUGCAACCGAGUCGAUGCAAGUUUUAUUUAGGAGAUGGGUUACAAUCACCUGGGGAGGCUCUAGUUACCUUGAUUUGGUCUGGUACAAACCCUAGCACCAUCAUCCACAGAUCCCCAGAGGAAGUCAUUCCUGGAUGACUUCCUCAUCGAUUUUAAAUAAUUUCCAUUUCAGAGGAAGGCCUUUAUCUGACCUGAUCCCCUAAAUAUUGGGGGAAACCUACAUAGGGACAAAGACAGCAGGUGUCUGCAAUGUUGAGAAUCAGUGUGUUCUGUCACUGUCUCUAUCAGGGCUGGUGGCACAUGCAAAUCUCUUUCCCACUCUCCAGUUGAACACUAACGCCAUGGUGCCCACACCUUCCUUAUUAGUCCAUGUACAUGGGGUUUGUCAAGACAGUGGUUCAUGGCUCUGACCCUGAGCAUGUCAGAUUUCAGGGGCUUUAUGCAAAAUAUCCAUACCAGUUGGGGUCAUUUCCCAUCAGUAUUGCUCACAAUGGAGCCUACAAACCCCUAGUUCCCAUCCAACACAUCUCCAAGGCAGACUCUCAGACCAGCUCCCAGAAAUGAGGUGAGUUUAGAUCAGGCAGCAGAGAGGUGGCCUAGGAAGGAGUCCUUGGAGCUCAUGCACCUGUGUCUGGGCACCAACAGGAAGAUGGUGGCUUUUGCUCUUUGGGAGAUAUCUUUGGAGCCAGUCUCUGACCACAUGUCCAACAGGACAGGCAUCCUUGGGGUUUCCAUGGCAGUCUACUGACAGUCAGGGGUGAGGAUUAAAUGGUACAGAGUCUCACUGAGUGCUCUUUGAGAGGUCAAGCAAUGAGAAGUCCUGCAAAUGAUUAUUGAGCUGAAGUAAGAAGUGUACCGAAUCUGUUUUUCCCCUAUAAAUAUAAAAGCCUAUAAAUAUAAAAAUCUUGGUGAAAAAAAAUGAUCCCAGCCUCCCACACAGCACAUCACACAUCUUCUCUUUUCAAAUUUGACUCCAAGGCCCACUUCCUUCGGGAAAUCAUUUAUCCAGUGGUAUCAUUUAGGAUAUUUUUGGUUGUGAGGAACAAAAGCCUAGCUCCAAAAGACUUAAUAAAAGGAUCUCAUUGGUUCACAAACUGAAAAACUCCAGUGGUAAAUGAAGGCUCUGGGUACAGUUGGUACAGGCUCUGGUCUCUGUAAUUUCCUAGUUCUUCUCCCUUCUAGAUGCUGGGUUUUUGCCUUCAAGUUGGCUUUCUUCAUGGUGGCAAAAUGGAUCCAGCAAUUCUGUCAGAGGUUUUCGAAGCAGAGUGACUCCAUCUUGAUUAAAGGCUGUGUAAAAUGAGGAUGAGACUUGCUGGACUGCAUUCCAGGAGGGUAGGCAUUCUUAGUCACAGGGUGAGACAGGAGGCCAGCAGGAUUGAUAUCACAAGACACAGGUCACAAAGACCCUGCUGAUAAAACAAGAUGCAAUAAAGAAGCCAGCCAAAACCCACCAAAACCAAGAUGGUGAUUAAUGUGACCUCUGGUCUUCCUCACUGCUCAUUAUAUGGUAAUUGUAAUGCAUUAGUGUGGUAAAAGACACUUCUACUAACUCCAUGACAGCUUACAAAUGCCAUGGCAAUGUCCAGAAGUUACCCUAUAUGGUCUAAAAGGAGAACCUAUAUAGUCUAAAAGAACUGAGGGUUCUGAGAAAUCCCUGACCCUUUCCUGGAAAAUUUAUGAAUAAUCCACUCCUUGUUUAGCAUACAAUCAAGAAAUAACCAUAGUGUACUCAGUCAAGCAGUCCCUGCUGCUGCUCUGCCUAUGGAGUAGCCAUUCUUUUGUUCUUUACUUUCUUAAUAAACUUGCUUUCAUUUUA